rnacentral:lncRNA from 1 species
CAAUCCUUUAAAAAGUUGCAACUAAUAAAUUAAAAAAAAAUAAUUCCUAAUUCCCCCAACACACAGGGUAACAAAACAUUCACUUUUUCAGAAAAUCAAUCUGUCCUCAGAGAGCUUUUCUUUAGGCAAAAUGCGUAGAAAGAGUAGAAAAAUCAACAAAGCACGUAUUUAUGAAAAUAAAUCUUCAAGGCACUUGAAAUUCGCCAAACAAUAAGCCAUUGGCUCUAGUGCUUGUCCAGUGUACUCCAGACACUAUGACCUUCAAGGCCUUCUAAGAAUGGGACCCUCUUUACCUCACAAACCAUUCACCUUCCUCCAACUUUAGUUACAAUGUUUCUAGAAUAUUCUCUUUCAGUUUCUAGAGGAGUCUCUCCCUUCUACCCCUAUUCACCUAGCUAACUCCCCAUCAUUCUUUCGAGUUAGAUGUUUCUUCCUACUGGAAACUCUCCCCGAGUUUCCCCACUUAUUUCCCUGCUGGAGCUACUUUUCCUGUUGGGCCCCUUCUGCCAUCAAUUACCCAAUUAAUGAUCUGGCUCCCCUCCUAGAAUGUAGGCUGCAGGACAGUGUCUUUGUCAUUGAAUUUCUAGCACUUACCGCAGUGGCUAACACAGAGUUCGUACUCAAUAAAUGGAAUUGCUAUUGUGAUUAUAAAGCAUACAUUUCCAUGUUUGAAAGGCACUUGGUAAAGGUCCCUAAUGCUGAUCAGAGUUAUUUUGGGAGCCGGAUGGCUAUAAUCAUUCAGUGAGAGCAGGCAGUGCUGAGGCAGUGCGGGGAUUCUCUAGCUGGACAUUCCUUUCCCCUGCUCUCUAGACAGUAUCUGAGGGAUAAUAAGACCCGCGGCGUUGGAGAGAAAUCAGCUCUUCUGAAACUAAUUUUCACUUUCAGUUAACACUCGCUCUAUGCAAGCAAAGGUCAUAUCAGCUGGGAUCCUGACUCUUUCCAAGAUGACUGCCUAUUUCAACAACUCGAAGGUGCUCCUGGAGCUUUGCCCUGUGCUGCAGUCAUUUGGUCAUGAAGUGGAAGUUGCCUGAAAUAUGACAGUUGUAGGUAGAAGCAGAGGAGUUGGGGUCAUGAAAUGCCAUGUGCGUUUAUAUGACCGUAUUUUUUUUUUUUUUUUGCCAAUAGGAUUUUGUCUAUUUCCUUAUGAGAAAGCAGCUGGGUGUCUUGUAAAGUGCUUUCAAGUUGGAAUCAAAAUUUCUUCUCUUUCUAUUUCCUGUGAGAAAUGUUAGUUUGGGCAAGUUGGUAGAUCCCUCUUAGCCUUGAUUUCCUAGUCUCUAAAAUGGGAGUGCAAUGUAAGCCUCAGGACCAUGUGGUGAAAGUUAUCUCAUACCUGAAUAGGUGAUUGAUAAGUGUUUGUUAAAUUCAAAUUUCAAAGAAAGAUGUACCCUCAUUGGGAUGAAUGAGUUUGAAUGUUCUGGCUUUUUUCUUAAACGUUCGGGCAUGAGUUUAAAAUUGUUAUUGUUAUUAUUAACAGAACUUAUUUACACAGUAGCCUCCUUUAAAAAAGAUACAGAGAAUGUCUCAUAACUCCCCUUUCCAAAUAAAAUUGAUUUGUUUCAUAAAGCAAUAGCUGCCAGAAACUCCAAUUUUGCUCUGCUUUGAUGUAAUCCAUUUGCAAACUGGAAGUUUCCCUACAGAGCUGAGGGGGGAAAAAUGAAGGCCCACAGAUAUCUAAAUUAGCCCUGAAUAUCAACCACAUCUCUUUUUGAGAAUAAUCAGGUACUCUGACUCUGGUCUCCUCAUUAUUUCACCAGGCCAGGAAAGGCGAGCUGACAAAUAAGCCCGAUUCUUCCUUGGCACCACAAAAUUCAAAGAAGAACGGAAAGUCCAUUGAAGUCCGCCUCUGUUCUUUUGCAUGAGCCGCAAGGUGCAAACAGGACCUGCCACUUGCUGCUUCGCGUGUGUCCAAACUCCUUAGGCUCCUGGGUAGCUUUGCUGAUGCCUGCUUUCCUCCCUGUGCCUCCCAGUGUCUAAGCCAAGUCCUCCUUUGCUGGUGGCUCUGCGUUCUGUUUCCUUUUUGGAAUAUCUUUUACUUGCUCGCUCUUGGUUGCUAACAACGUCUUAUGGAACGUAGCUCAUCUGGCUCUUAGGUACCGCACGGAGACCUAGGGCGAGUCAGCGGGCUCUCAGAGACCAUCCUCAGAGCUAGACUUGCUUUCCAAACUCUGCUUCAGAGACCCUAUAGAUACACUCUGGAGGGGUGUCAAGGCCUUCCUAGGGAGGAAGCUGGUGCGAGAUGGAUCCCAAAGAAAGACAAUGAAUGGACUGGGCUGGGAGUAACCUGUCAUUGCUUUGACCAGAGAAGUUCUGUUUCUGUCAGCAUCCCGUAUUAGACAUCAGCAUGAGAUUUCAUUUAAAGACAUGAUCGCAUGGCCAAAAGAAUUUGCAGGGCAAGCCUUUGCUAAACCCUGUUCCAUAUCCAUACAAGGGUAGGGAUAUAGUUGUAAAGUGUGUCAUUUUGUGAAUUAUGUUAUUUUUCACCUGCGCUAGGUGCACAGCUGCACUCUCUAUCUCUGCAAGUGGAACAUGAACUUGUAAGGACACCAGGGUCUGUAAUUUGCUGUCUUUAUGAUGAGACAACCCUUCAGUUCCCAGGGGACACAGCUUUGCCUAUUUUUUUUUUUUUUCCUUUUUAGGGCUGCAUCGGCAACAUAUGGAAGUUCCCAGGCCAGGGGUCCAAUCGGAGCUGCAGCUGAGACCUAUGCCACAGCCAUGGCGACACUGGAUGCGAGCUGCAUCUGCGACCUACACCGCAUCUUGUGGCAACGCCAGAUCCUUAAUCCACUGAGCGAGGCCAGGGGCUGAACCCACAUCUUCACAGAAAAAUGCUCUGGGUCCUUAACCUGCUUAGCUGCAAUGAGAACUCCCAGCUUUGCUUUCUUUGUAGGUUGGUUUUCUCCUAAGCUCUUUUGAGUCUAAUCAACAUUGUAGACCCACCGCCUUGAAAAACGCUUGGAAAUAGCACAAUUUGCACUCUCUUUCAAGGGACUAUGGUGCCACUGAAACCCAGCCAUGUGCUCUGAGACCAAGAAUCCCUGCAGGAAAGGCUUCUCUGGAUGGACCACACAAACGGUUGGGGUCAGUGUCCACUUUGAAAGCCUAUGUUUUUCCCCACCUGAUCAUUACAACUGCCCAGUAUUGGAACCGGCCAUGUCAUGAGAAUGGCUGCUUGAUUAUUUCAGGUGCAGAGAUGCUGGCCCACCAGAGGGGCGGGUGGCAUAGCAGAAGAAAGCACCGGGCCUGGCAUCAGAGAGAAUGGGCUUGAGACCGUAUUGCUGCCAAUUCCUACCUGUUUCCUUGGGCAAAUCACUUAACGUAUAUGAGUUUCAAUUUCCUUACCUAUAAAAUGGGUGGGACAGUUCUCCUGUCUGUUUUAAAAAUGACCUCGUAGCGUUGUCGAGGAGUUAAUGAGAAAACGCAUGCCAGUCAUUUUUCAUGGUAUAGAGCAGUUGGUUAGAAGGUCAGUUCCCUAAAAGCUUAUUGUGCAGAGGGCACCUGCCUUAUGUGGGAAAAUGGAUUCGGUGUUCUGUCAGGUCCCUUGUGACUCUGGUGUAGCCUUUUCUGCUCUGUUUCGUUGAAUAAUCUGGCAACUGUUACCUUCUUGCUUUGGAUUUGCCCUCAGACAGGUUUCAUGACUAGAAUCUUGAGCAAUGAUUGCUUUUCCCCUCAAGGCUCAGCUUUCAAAAAUGUCUUUCAACUAUCUCCAGCUCCGCUGAGGAGAUUUUUACAUCUUUAUUGCAAAGUGGCUCUUCGUGUCCCUUAGGGAGAUGAAGAGACGCUGACCAAAACUUGUGACAUGUUGUCCUCUGUUGCCAAAUAGUCAAGGGAAACACAACAUUUAUGAGUAGACAGUGUAAGCUUAAGAGUUUGCCAUCUGAUUUGGCUUUAGACUUUUAAAUAAAUCAGCCAAGAACAGUUCCAGAAACUUGAUUUUCAAAAUAGAUACUUUUUGACAAGCCCGGUCCAGCUCGUUUCCAAAGAUAGCCUCGGAAUGAACAAUGCUUCUUUAUAUGGAAGCCCUCCCUUUGAACCUGGGCUGGCCUUUGACCAUUAGAAUGUGGCAGAAGUGACACUGCAUGACUCUUUAGAGUAGAGCCUUGGAGAAGUUCCCGUGGUGGCUCAGCGGGUUAAGAACCCGAUAGUGUCUGCAGAUGUGGGGUUGAUCCCUGGCCUCGCUCAGUGGGUUAAGGAUGCAGCGUUGCCGUGAGCUGUGGUGUAGGUCACAGAGUCGGCUCAGAUCCGGCGUCGCUGUGGCUGUGGCUGUGGUUGUGGCCGGCAGCUGCAGGUCCGAUUGGACCCCUAGCCUGGGAACCUCCAUGUCGACCUGAGUCUCUUGGAAAGGCUCAUUCUGGGAGAAGUAAGGUACCAGGUAAGAAAGUCAGCAUCUGUAGUUCCUCGCGCUGAAGGAAGCCCAAAUAUUCGGAAUUCACAUGGGAGAGAGAGAAAGGGAGAGAGCGAGCUGCCCCCAGCUGUUCCAGCCAUCCCACCUGAGGUGCCAGGCUUGUGAGGGAAGAAGGCGUCUCGGAUGCCCCGUCCAGGUGAAACUUUCUGGAGGAUGUCAGCCUCCAUCUGACUGUAGCUGCAGGAGACACCCCCAAGUACAAGCUUGUAGCUUAGCCCAGUUAACCCACAGAGCUGUGAGAUAAUAAAUUAUUUGGAACCUCUAGUUUUUUUUUUUUUAAUAGCAGUAGAUAAUUGAAAAGGAUGCCUCCGUCACAUGUGGGGGUAGGCAGGAUUGCACAGAUCCAAACACUGGUGAAUUGCCUGCAGCUGCUGGUAUCUGGAAGGAUUGUUUUCGGACCUGUGGCCUCCUAGUGACAGGGUCCAUGUUGGUUGCCACUGACUCAGGUUGAUGAGCUUUAACCCUCUUCUAGAAAAUCUCUUGAUACUGGCUUAAGACCACCGAGGAAAGAAUACAAUUCGUGUCUCUCCCACUGGACUUCUUGGUAUCCACGUUCCUACCUUCUUUCUUAUUCUUAAGAUAUGUUCUAUAGAGGAUUUCGUGCUGUUUGCUGGGCUGACCUCAUGCACCUGUCCAAACCAUGGUUGGCAAACUAGGGGCUGCAGGCAGGCCGUUACCUCUCUCUUUUUUGUAAGUAAAAUUUGAUUGGAACUUGCCCAUUUGUUUCCAUAUAUUCUAUCACUGUUUUUUCUCCGUGAUGGCAGAGUUGUGUAGUUGUGACAGAUGGUAUGGUGUGCAUAGCCAAAAAUAUUUACUGUCUGACCUUUCCGGAGAAAGUUUGCCAAACCCUCGUCUAAACCAUCGAGCUAACUGGUUGAUAGUAUUUUAGAUUGUGUGCAGUGUUGUAUGUAAACUGUUUGAGAGCUUGACUUUAUGGUGAUGGUCCUCUAGUUUCAUCUUCGUUGAGGACAAUUAAGCAGGUGAAUUCAGCAUCAGCUAAUGCAUAUUAAGUCCCUUACUAUGCACUGGGUACCUGGUGCUUUGGUAUGUGUUUUCGUGUAUAUGAUUCAUUCCUGCGUGGAAUAAUCUUGUGAGCUGAAUAGUUUAUCUUCGCUUUACAGAUGAAGAAAUUUAAGACUUGGAAAGAAAAAAAAUGAUUCGAUUCAGGCUACCAUUACUGAGCUAGGAUGUGAACCCAGUGCAAAGGUGCCAAUACUGGAUUCUUUGUCCUACACUAGUGCUUUUCAGACUUUUAUGUUAUGCGUGUAUGCAUGUAGGUGUGUAGGAAUGCAUGCAUUUCUGUGUUUGGCAGCACGACCUUCUUUUACUCAAAGAAUGCCAUUCGUUGGCCCAGUGGGUAUAAAGCAGAUGAAAGCAGAUCAAACGUCUCCAUGAUCACACCCCUCCUCCUUGCAGAACACACACACACACACACAAUUCAGCCUUAACCUCAACAUUGCAACAUUGCAUGGAUUUUGUCAGGACCUGUAACACGAGAUGGAAGGACAUGAGAUUUGGGCUGUCAUCAUUUGGUCUUUGUCUUUCUCGUAGCACAGAUGUCUGAUUGCUCUUUUGCCUCAAUGCCAGUGAUUCCCAAGGCACUCUGUACAAUUGCAAAAAAAAAAAAAAAAAAAAAAA